UCCAAGUAAGACAAACGCUGAGCUGAGCUGUAACCAAUCCAGCUAUUUCUGUGCCUUACUGCUGAUUUCUAUCGUCACUUUACUUUUUUUUUUUUUUUUUGUCUGUAACUUUGUUCUGACCAGAAGGCAUCUGUGGAGUCUCUGAAUGUGCUGUGAUUCUGAUUCACGAAUGUUUUCAACAUUGUUGUGUUGUCUACAAUUUUGUGAUUCUUAUAUUGCCUCAAGAAUCUACUCCCUCUACUUACAAAAAGAAAAGCUAACGGGAAGAAAGCCUCAAGCAGGUCCUUUGAGAAGUAUUACAGAAAAAAAAAAAAAAGCAUCGUUAUCACAGGAGAUGGCCCCUCCAUGUGUGUUACUGCCCUGGAAAACCUUACAGUGGGUCAAGACAUGGAGAUGGAAGGCAGUGAUACUGGUGAUCCUGACCCUCUGUAGGCCCAGGCUAAUGUGUGUGCAUAAAAGACAGUGAUGCUGGUGAUCCUGACCCUGUA